UUUUGGGUCCUUGAUUUUUGUUUGUCAGAAGCACCAGGCCAUGGAGGGAAUGAACUUUUACCUGGACCUCACAAGAGGAAAACAAAUGGUCCAGCUCCUCAGAAUCUGAUAGCUCCACCAAAAUAAAUUCAGUCUUUGCUUCUUUCAAAACACUGACAUACUGAUCCUUAAAGCUACAUAUGUUUAAGAACAACCAAGGGGAGAAAAAAAAUUCCCCCUUGUAACAUUUGUCUUCUGAACUUUGAGCUGAUUAUUUUUCUUCCACAUGGCCUGAGGUCUUAGAAAGGACACCCUUUUGGUAAGAUGGAACAUGACAUCGGGAAGUCCCAGCUACUGGCGUUUUAAAGAUAAAUGGUAAAACUGAACUGGAAAUCCAUCUGGCCGGCUGCCUGCUCUAAUGAAUAACCCCACUUUGGCUCGUGCAAUGUAAGCAGAAAGUUCUCUCCCGGCCUCUUUCGUCUGUCAUGAAUCUACAAGACAGCCGACAUAAUAUCUGGGCGACAACAGUGCGCUAACAGUGCAGUGACUUCCAUUUUCUUUGCUUUCUAUUGAUUUUCACUUAAUAACUGGCGAAAUACUAAACGUCCGCCCUGAGUACCUAAUAAAUCCUGCCUGAGCUUU
rnacentral:lncRNA from 1 species